rnacentral:rRNA from 1 species
UAUACCAAAUAGCUAAGUUAUAGUUUUUAAAGGCUAUAAAGAUGGUUAAAUAUGUAUUUUUAUUAUAUAUUUUUAGAUAAGUAGGUGAAAUUUUUAUUUAAUUUUGUUUGUUGGUAAUAGUUUGUAUUGAGGCUGUUAUAUUUUUGGUGAAAACUGGGAUUAGAUACCCCAUUAUUCUUAGGAGUAAAUUGUUUUGGUUGCCUGAGUACUACGAGUUUAAUACUUAAAACUCAAAGAACUUGGCGGUGUUCUAAAUUUUUUAGGGGAACUUGUCUCGUAAUCGAUAGUCCACGUUAUAUCUGUCUUAAGUUGGUAAAUCAGCUUGUAUACCGUCGUUUAGUUAACUUUAGAGAAAAUAAGAGUUAGCGGUUUAGAUUAUAAUUAGUCUAUAUAUCAGAUCAAGGUGUAGCUUAUAUUUGAGUGAGGAUGAGUUACAGUUAUAAAAUUUAUAUUCGGAUAAUUUUUUGUAAUUACAGGUUUGAAGUUGGACUUAAAAGUAAGUUAUAUAUAGAGGAAUGUGUUGAAUUUAUAUUUAGAAUGUGC